AGUGCAAAUAGAUAGUUCAGCAGUAGGUCAAUACACAGUCACUUUUUUGGUGUUUUUACCUCAGUUUCUCAUCAUAGCAGCUGUGUGGAUGUGGUUUUUUCUUAUUAAGAAAAGAUUCUGCUCAUCUGAAGAAACAAACUGACAUAAAAUCAAAGAGAAUCAAGUGUGCAUCAUCUGUAUGAAGGACAGCUGCUCUCAGUAUCACAACAGCUUCACUUCACAAUGUAAACAACAGGAAUCAUGACAUCAUAUAUUUCUAUAACGAAUUGCUAUUGGACCCUACUAAACAGUGAUUGGGGUGGCACAGUGGCUCAGGUGGUAGCACUGUUGCCUCACAGAAAGAAGGUCCCCGGUCCAAUCUUCGGCUAGGUCAGGUGGCCUAUCGGUGUGGAGUUUGCAUGUUCUCCUUGUGUCAGCGUGGGUUUACUCCAGGAAAUCUGGUUUUCUUCCCACAGGCCAAAAACAUGCAAGUUGGGUGAUUUAGAGAUACCAAAUUGCCCUUCACCCAACAUGGUGAUGGAUUUACUUGUGUAUGGAUUAACUGGUUCUCACCAUUAAUUCAGUCAGACAAACAUCGUUUUUUAUCCAAUCAUGACUGUUGACACUGCAAAUAUGCAAAUGAAAGCAUUAACCUGGGGUUUAGGAAUGCAGAGUGUAACAUUUCAUUUCAAGUGUGAAAGGGUGAUUCUGACAUCAAUUGCAAACAAGCAUACACCUGCUGAAAUAUCAUUAUAAUAAGUCAUUGUUUUGUUUGAUGAAUUAUUAUCAUAUGUAUCUGUUCACCUAAAUAUGAAAGAAACAAAGGCAAUUAAAGCUAAUAGCUGGCUUUCCUGCCUUUGUUCUGUUGGGCGAGCUGGUGACGUUUUGUUCAUGAGUGAUUCUUAGGGUAAAGGAUGAAGUUGUCUCAGUGAGGCUAUCAUGUUUAUAUGCUCAAAUCUGGGAUUUGUUUACAGCUGCCCUUUCUUGCCUGAUUGUAACCUUUUCAUGUUUAUAUUGUCAUCUGAAGGCAUUGUUUCCAUCUGAAGGGACUGCUCCUUCAAAUGGCUUUAAAUAUAUGCAUGUAUACAGUAAGUCGAACUUGGUGACUUCAGCUUCCGGCUGUAUGCUCUGAUUUGAAGUUCGUUUUCUGCA